ACCUCUCUACAUGCAACUGCGCGCGCAAAUGUUUGUUUUCGAUAUUCCAGCUAACGGCUCUAUUUUUUUUAUUUCCUUUGGUCACCCAUUUUUUUCUUCUAGUUUUUAACAGUGACUAAAACGUGUGUUUUAUUAUUCAAUUUCAGUGUUUUCAUAUUUCAAUAACUAGUUUAAGUGUGUGAUAAUUAUGGUAGGAACAACCGUUUAGUAAAAAAGUUAGAAUGGAAUCUACUUUAAAGGAACGGAAGCCUACUUUUUGAUAUAUAUAUAUUUAUAUAUAUAUAUAUAUAUAUAUAUAUAUAUAUAUAUAUAUAUAUAUAUAUAUAUAGGUAAACAAGUAUUACCUGAAGAUUGCGUGUAAUUAAUUAUCAUACACACGUUUCUAUUGGACUUGAUGCAAUUAUUGGUGGUUUCUACUGCGCAUUCACCCAUUCUUUUAACGAUGGCAAGAGGACCUAAUUUGGAGGAAGGAAGCAGAAACUGAUGGAGAAUAUGAAUCAUUUCACCUAGUUAUAGAAUGUCUUUCUAUUGAAUUGGGCAUGUCAACAGCUUCCGGAUUUUUUCAUUUACGUUAAUUCAUUGUCAAUCAAUUCUUAGCCUCAAUUCAU